GGUUCAGGAUGAACGCUAGCGACAGGCCUAACACAUGCAAGUCGAGGGGCAGCACAAGGAGCAAUCUGAGGUGGCGACCGGCGCACGGGUGAGUAACACGUAUGCAACCUGCCUGUAAGCGGGGAAUAACCCGUUGAAAGACGGACUAAUACCGCAUAAUACUAAAUUACUGCAUGGUAAUUUAUUUAAACAUUUAUGGCUUACAGAUGGGCAUGCGCAUGAUUAGCUAGUUGGAGAGGUAACGGCUCCCCAAGGCAACGAUCAUUAGGGGUUCUGAGAGGAAGGUCCCCCACACUGGUACUGAGACACGGACCAGACUCCUACGGGAGGCAGCAGUGAGGAAUAUUGGUCAAUGGACGAGAGUCUGAACCAGCCAAGUCGCGUGCAGGAAGAAUGUCCUAUGGAUUGUAAACUGCUUUUGCAGGGGAAUAAAGUGCAUCACGUGUGAUGUUUUGUAUGUACUCUGCGAAUAAGGAUCGGCUAACUCCGUGCCAGCCGCCGC
rnacentral:rRNA from 1 species